UUUGGUAUAUUUUUUGUUUGCAUGUGAAAUAUACCCGGGUCCCCAUGGAUCCUAUCUCCUCGCAUUUUCCCAUUUGGGGCACGAAGGCCCUAAAUAUUUUCCUUCAUCGAGUCAAGCCAUAAAAAAUGACGUACAAGUAUCAAGGCAAAAGAUACAAAAUUAGAAGAGAUAAAGAGGCCGGCCAUGAGGCCCAAUUCAUUUUGUUCUUUUUUUAAAAAUAUAUAUUGUAUUUUGUUAUCUUGGGGGCUUAAUCCUUUGUUGUCUUUCAUUUGUUAAUUAAUGUAUGAUUAGUUUAGGACAGUACCAAAUGUAAAUGGGCUAAAAGCCCAAAACGAGAAUGGGUUAAAACCCAAAAGAAAGUGGGUCCAAACAUCAGUUCAGGAGGACAAAACCGG
rnacentral:misc_RNA from 1 species